GACGAACGCUGGCGGCGCGCCUAACACAUGCAAGUCGAACGAGCGAGAGAGAGCUUGCUUUCUCGAGCGAGUGGCGAACGGGUGAGUAACGCGCGAGGAACCUGCCUCAAAGAGGGGGACAACAGUUGGAAACGACUGCUAAUACCGCAUAAGCCCACGGUGCCGCAUGGCACAGAGGGAAAAGGAGCAAUCCGCUUUGAGAUGGCCUCGCGUCCGAUUAGCUAGUUGGUGAGGUAAUGGCCCACCAAGGCGACGAUCGGUAGCCGGACUGAGAGGUUGAACGGCCACAUUGGGACUGAGACACGGCCCAGACUCCUACGGGAGGCAGCAGUGGGGAAUAUUGCACAAUGGGGGAAACCCUGAUGCAGCGACGCCGCGUGGAGGAAGAAGGUCUUCGGAUUGUAAACUCCUGUUGUUGGGGAAGAUAAUGACGGUACCCAACAAGGAAGUGACGGCUAACUACGUA
rnacentral:rRNA from 1 species